rnacentral:rRNA from 1 species
CCUACGGGGUGCUGCAGUGAGGAAUAUUGGUCAAUGGACGAGAGUCUGAACCAGCCAAGUAGCGUGAAGGAUGACUGCCCUAUGGGUUGUAAACUUCUUUUAUAUGGGAAUAAAACGUUCCACGUGUGGGAUUUUGUAUGUACCAUAUGAAUAAGGAUCGGCUAACUCCGUGCCAGCAGCCGCGGUAAUACGGAGGAUCCGAGCGUUAUCCGGAUUUAUUGGGUUUAAAGGGAGCGUAGGUGGAUUGUUAAGUUAGUUGUGAAAGUUUGCGGCUCAACCGUAAAAUUGCAGUUGAAACUGGCAGUCUUGAGUACAGUAGAGGUGGGCGGAAUUCGUGGUGUAGCGGUGAAAUGCUUAGAUAUCACGAAGAACUCCGAUUGCGAAGGCAGUUCACUGGACUGCAACUGACACUGAGGCUCGAAAGUGUGGGUAUCAAACAGGAUUAGAUACCCGGGUAGUC